UAGUGGCAUUUUUAUAUGAAAACGCCGCAAAAAAUAUUUUCCUUCAAAGCGUUUAAUCCCCAAAAUUUUCCCCCGUUAAACCUUUAAUUUUUCCGCCGUUGGUGCCUCUGCUAUGUUCCUCUUCCUUGUCCCUGUCUCAACCCAACUCUCUCGACUCCACCCAGUCCGGCUCGGAGGUGCCUCGUUAUGACGAGGAAAGGGUUUUGAUAAGCGAGGUUCUUGUCAGUAACAAAGAUGGAGAGGAGUUGGAGCGGAAAGACCUCGAAAUGGAAGCCCUUACCGCGUUGAAAGCUUGCCCAGCCAACUCUGCUUUGACGGUGCGGGAGGUUCAGGAAGAUGUCCACCGGAUCAUUGAUAGCGGUUACUUCUCUUCCUGUAUGCCUGUGGCCGUUGACACGCGGGAUGGUAUCAGAUUGGUGUUUCAACUGUGCAGGAAAAGUGGUAAAUCUCAAGCGCUUGGAUGAAGUAAUUAAUUCCAUCAAUGGAUGGUAUAUGGAAUGUGGUCUUUUUGGCUUGGUUUCUGGAGUUGAUAUUUUUUCUGGAGGUAUUAUAAGGUUACAAGUUGCAGAAGCUGAGGUCAACAAUAUAUCCAUACGCUUCCUUGAUCGAAAGACUGGUGAACCAACUAAACGGAAGAAGGGACAGGUGUAUAGUAUGCUUCAAGGGAAAAGAGAUGUGGAUACAGUGUCAACUAUGGGUCUUAUGACAGAUGUCAGUAUCAUUCCUCAACCAGCUGGAGAUGCUGGUAAAGUUGAUUUGGUAAUGAAUGUUGUUGAACGUCCGAGUGGUGGUUUUUCUGCUGGUGGUGGAAUAUCAAGCUGGAUUACAAGUGGCCCUUUAUCAGGACUUAUUGGAAGCUUUGCAUAUUCUUAUAGAAAUUUGUUUGGAAGAAACCAAAAGCUUAAUAUUUCCUUAAAGAGGGGCCAAAUCGACUCUAUAUUCCGCAUUAACUAUACAGACCCAUGGAUUGAAGGAGAUGAUAAGAGGACAUCUAGAACAAUAAUUAUCCAGGGAUGCAUGGGACAUGGCUGCUGAAAUUUGCCUUUCUCAGCUUCCAUCGUUGGUUGAGGAUCGUAAUGCAGAGUUCCAAGUAUGAUCAUGGGUGUAGCAACUUCAAUUGAAAAGUACUUGUGCAGGUCUGGAGUAGGUCAAUCAAAAAGUUCUGUUGGAAUUAAACUGACAAGUAAUUGUAGUAUGCUUGUAGUUAAAGUUUCUUCUAGUGAACAUCAUGUUGUUUAUUCGGUAGAAGUUUCAAAGAUUUUACUUUUUAGAAGAAAGUGUAUUGUAGUCAUUAGAUUGGGUUUUCAAAGAUUGAUUAUGAACAUUUUGAUCAAAUGAAAAGUUCUCUUAUUAA